UCCCUGGUGGUCCAGUGGUUAAGACUCUGCACUCCCACUGCAGGGGGCCUGGGUUCGAUCCUUGAUCAGGGAA
rnacentral:tRNA from 1 species